GAAACUUUCCCUGCACCAUGCUUCCAACUCUGCGUGCACAAGGCUAUUGGAUGUAAUCACGAGGGUUAAGUUCUCAGUCUAAAAAUUUCAAGCCUGUAACUAUUAGAAAUCUGUAACAGCUUCAGCAUGUUUGUUAGAUACAAGCUCUCUCAUCUGACAGGGAGAAAUGGGGAGCAAAACAAUAUCAGCAUAUCAUUGAAGUCUUGAAAGCAAGCAAUGGAAAAACUGCAUGAUUUGCUUGACUGGGAUCUGUGAAGUCCUUAGGAAGUGCAGAGUUCCUACAUCUCCUCUCCCAACACAAGUGCUGUAAGCAACCAAGGUCAAAAUUAGAGCAGUUGAGAAGCUGCUCUAGGUUGUGCUCUGUGAAUGGAUGCUGGCCAUCUCCAGAGACACGAGGUAUCAUUUAGAUUAGAAAAGACCUUCAAGAUCAUUAAGACCAACUGCAAACCAAACACUGCCAAGUCCACCAAAAGAAGCAAUGGAAUGACCAAACAUCCUUCUCCAGGAAAAACUUUCCUGAUUUCACAACAGCAAGGAAGUGGAAUGUCUUGUCUUCUUAAAGGCAUUUGUUUUGAUUAUUACAA